rnacentral:ncRNA from 1 species
CAACUUGAGAGUUUGAUCCUGGCUCAGAACGAACGCUGGCGGCAGGCUUAACACAUGCAAGUCGAACGAAGGCUUCGGCCUUAGUGGCGCACGGGUGAGUAACACGUGGGAAUAUACCUCUCGGUGGGGAAUAACGUCGGGAAACUGACGCUAAUACCGCAUACGCCCUUAGGGGGAAAGAUUUAUCGCCGAGAGAUUAGCCCGCGUCCGAUUAGCUAGUUGGUGAGGUAAAAGCUCACCAAGGCGACGAUCGGUAGCUGGUCUGAGAGGAUGAUCAGCCACACUGGGACUGAGACACGGCCCAGACUCCUACGGGAGGCAGCAGUGGGGAAUAUUGGACAAUGGGCGCAAGCCUGAUCCAGCCAUGCCGCGUGAGUGAUGAAGGCCUUAGGGUUGUAAAGCUCUUUCGACGGGGACGAUGAUGACGGUACCCGUAGAAGAAGCCCCGGCUAACUUCGUGCCAGCAGCCGCGGUAAUACGAAGGGGGCAAGCGUUGUUCGGAAUUACUGGGCGUAAAGCGCACGCAGGCGGCGAUCCAAGUCAGAAGUGAAAGCCCUGGGCUCAACCCGGGAACUGCUUUUGAUACUGGGUUGCUAGAAUCACGGAGAGGGUAGGGGAAUUCCGA